GGCGACCUCUGCGUAGUAAUACAGCUCGCACCGGAACCCCGACGCGGCCACGCCGUAAAACACCCAACUUCUGAACGUGACCUCGAAUCACGUAGGACUACCCGCUGAACUUAAGCAUAUCAAUAAGCGGAGGAAAAGAAACCAACAGGGAUUGCCCCAGUAACGGCGAGUGAAGCGGCAACAGCUCAAAUUUGAAAUCUGGACUCUCACGGCCCGAGUUGUAAUUUGUA
rnacentral:rRNA from 1 species